ACAUUCAUACCACACCUGAGGGCUUAGGGCACCACCAACAGAGGACAGACAGCUGCACCUGACACCGCUGUGAUUUAAACCAAGGGCACCGCUAGCAGGGACAGGAUGGACCGCAGGCACCAAGCUGCACCAGGGGUUAGGAAAUCAUGAAUGGACUCGUCCUGAGCACAGGCUGGUGCAGCCAGAAGAUUGGAGUGGCCAGCAAAUGCUAGUGCUGGGAAGAUGCAAGUUUGGAGCGAUGGACAGCCACCGUCCCUAGCUCAGCAAAAGAAGCUGCUUACAUUAAGAGAGUUUGUGCUCCUCAUGCAAAGAGAACAGAAAAAAGGGA